AGCCUGAUCCAGCCAUUCCGCGUGAGUGAAGAAGGCCUUCGGGUUGUAAAGCUCUUUCGCAAGGGAAGAAAACUUAUCACAAUAACACUGUGUGAGGCUGACGGUACCUUGAUAAGAAGCACCGGCUAACUACGUGCCAGCAGCCGCGGUAAUACGUAGGGUGCGAGCGUUAAUCGGAAUUACUGGGCGUAAAGCGUGCGCAGGCGGUUUUGUAAGUCAGAUGUGAAAUCCCCGAGCUCAACUUGGGAACUGCGUUUGAAACUACAAGGACUAGAAUAUGUCAGAGGGGGGUAGAAUUCCACGUGUAGCAGUGAAAUGCGUAGAGAUGUGGAGGAAUACCAAUGGCGAAGGCAGCCCCCUGGGAUAAUAUUGACGCUCAUGCACGAAAGCGUGGGGAGCAAACAGGAUUAGAUACCCUGGUAGUCCACGCCCUAAACGAUGUCUACUAGUUGUUGGUGGAGUAAAAUCCAUGAGUAACGCAGCUAACGCGUGAAGUAGACCGCCUGGGGAGUACGGUCGCAAGAU
rnacentral:rRNA from 1 species